UACGUAGGGACCGAGCGUUGUCCGGAAUCAUUGGGCGUAAAGAGCGUGUAGGCGGCCUUUUAAGUCCUGCGUGAAAUCCUGCGGCUCAACCGCAGACGGUCGUGGGAAACUGGAAGGCUAGAGUGCGGGAGAGGAGAGUGGAAUUCCCGGUGUAGCGGUGAAAUGCGCAGAUAUCAGGAGGAACACCGAUGGCGAAGGCAGAUCUCUGGGCCGUAACUGACGCUGAGGAGCGAAAGCGUGGGGAGCGAACAGG
rnacentral:rRNA from 1 species